GGACCGCUAGUGUAAUGGUUAUCACGUUUGCUUCACACGCAAAAGGUUGCCGGUUCGAACCCGGCGUGGUUCA